rnacentral:rRNA from 1 species
UCCGCAGGCGGUCUGGUGUGUCAGAUGUGAAAGCCCACAGCUUAACUGUGGAAUUGCAUUUGAAACUGCCGGACUAGAGUACUGGAGGGGAGAAGGGAACACUUGGUGUAGCGGUGAAAUGCGUAGAUAUCAAGUGGAACACCGGUGGCGAAGGCGCUUCUCUGGACAGAUACUGACGCUCAUGGACGAAAGUUAGGGUAGCGAAAG